rnacentral:rRNA from 1 species
UACGGGGGGAGCAAGCGUUGUUCGGAUUUACUGGGCGUAAAGGGCGCGUAGGCGGUCAGCACAAGUCAGUUGUGAAAUCUCCGGGCUUAACUCGGAAAGGUCAACUGAUACUGUGCGACUAGAGUGCGGAAGGGGCAACUGGAAUUCUCGGUGUAGCGGUGAAGUGCGUAGAUAUCGAGAGGAACACUGCGGCGAAGGCGGGUUGCUGGGCCGACACUGACGCUGAUGCGCGAAAGCCAGGGGAGCGAACGGG